UACGAUCACAGAAGUUAAGCAACGUCAAGCCUGGUUUGUACAUAGAUGGGUGACCGCUUGGGAAUACCAGGAGCUGUCA